UUGAGUGUAUAUCACUUGGGUAAGGACUUUUCAAAGUCAAGAAGAAGGGUCCAUCUUGCUACUAGCGAGAGAGAGAGAGAGAUUGUAUAGAAAGAGAAAGCUCCAUUCUUGAGAGUUGGAGCUCAAGACUAGUGUAAAUUAAAGUAGAAUUGAAGAAGCUUAAGGGAAUCAUUUCUAAUUUCUGAAAUUGAAGUUUAAGCUCAUAAGUUUUCAAAGAACACUCCGAUGGAAGUUGAGGUUGGAGCUUCCAAAUGCAAGGUUUAUGGUGAGCAACUAGAAGAUCAGCAUUAGAGAUUGUCUCGGAGUCCGCCCUUUUGGUCAAACCACCUAAGAUGUGCUUUCGUGAUGAGGCUUGAGCUUUAUAUUUUGUCAAGUCUUAAUUGUAUGAUCUUGGGUUGUAUAAGAUAUGCCUAUGUAUAUGUAUAAUUAUUAAAGUGUAUUAUGAAAUGUUUUAAAUAUCUCAAUUUAUCAUAUAUGCACAGCUCAGUGGACUUAGUUAUAUUUCAUUAUUACUUUCGCUAAA